rnacentral:rRNA from 1 species
GACGAACGCUGGCGGCGUGCCUAACACAUGCAAGUCGAGCGAGUGAAUCUCCUUCGGGAGUGAAACUAGCGGCGGACGGGUGAGUAACACGUGGGCAACCUGCCUCAUAGAGGGGAAUAGCCUUUCGAAAGGAAGAUUAAUACCGCAUAAGAUUGUAGCUUCGCAUGAAGUAGCAAUUAAAGGAGUAAUCCGCUAUGAGAUGGGCCCGCGGCGCGUUAGCUAGUUGGUGAGGUAACGGCUCACCAAGGCGACGAUGCGUAGCCGACCUGAGAGGGUGAUCGGCCACAUUGGGACUGAGACACGGCCCAGACUCCUACGGGAGGCAGCAGUGGGGAAUAUUGCACAAUGGGGGAAACCCUGAUGCAGCAACGCCGCGUGAGUGAUGACGGCCUUCGGGUUGUAAAACUCUGUCUUCAGGGACGAUAAUGACGGUACCUGAGGAGGAAGCCACGGCUAACUACGUGCCAGCCGCCGCGGUAA